rnacentral:rRNA from 1 species
GAUGAACGCUAGCGGCAGGCCUAAUACAUGCAAGUCGAACGGAUAUAUGUUUUUCGGAAUAUAUAUUAGUGGCGCACGGGUGAGUAACACGUACAUAACUUGCCCUCAAGCGGGGGAUAGCCUUGGGAAACUGAGAGUAAUACCCCAUAGAAUUAUUGGACGGCAUCGUUUGAUAAUUAAAACUACGGUGUUUGGGGAUAGAUGUGCGUCUGAUUAGCUAGUUGGUGAGGUAACUGCUCACCAAGGCGACGAUCAGUAGGGGGCGUGAGAGCGUGGCUCCCCACACGGGUACUGAGACACGGACCCGACUCCUACGGGAGGCAGCAGUAAGGAAUAUUGGUCAAUGGAGGGAACUCUGAACCAGCCAUGCCGCGUGAAGGAUGACGG